UAAUACUUGAGAAGCAGCCAACAUUUCAUUUCACUACAUUUUUGUUAUGUUCUUGUGGUUGUAUCAUUCUGGACCUCAUAUUAUUCUUCUGGCCAGACUUUGAUUUCACAUGCAUCAACCCCUUUAAAAAAAAAUCUGGCCUCUGUAUCUUCCACCUUUUUUCAUCCAAAUUCAUGCAUCUUUGACUACACUCUAUAAUCUCCAAUUCCCUUGGAUACCCACCUACUUUUUCUUGUUUUCUAAGAAGGGUAUCUUUUGUUUUGUUGGAAUCUUGAGUCUAGAUUUCGGUUCUUUGGUUUUCUUGAUUUAGGGUGUGUUUUGUUUUGGAAAAAUGGUGGGGGCUUUCUCUGUUGUGGGUUCAUCAAUGGUGGACACGCAUACUGGUCCUUGUUUGUGUCUGGAUUCUCUGGUAUCGAAUCAUGUGAAUUCAUUGAGUAAAAAGCGUGAUAUGCCUCGGCCUGGAUCGUUGGAGUUGAGCUCUUCUUUCGUCGAUUCGAAGAAGUUUUCGACCAAAGCUUUGUCCAGGAUUAAGAGUUCAAAGAAGCAGAGAAAGACUAGGAGUCUUGUGAUUGUUAAUGAAGUGGCUGGACAGUAUGAAGACAGCUUCGAGGAUGUCAAAGCUCAAAUGAUUAAUUAUUUUACGUACAAAGCUGUGAGGACUGUUAUGAAUCAGCUUUACGAGAUGAACCCCACCGAGUACCGUUGGUUCUAUGAUUUCGUUGUCUCAAACAAGCCGGGUGAUGGAAAAAGAUUUCUUCGCAUCCUUGUAAAGGAGAAGCAGGAUCUCGCCGAAAGAGUGAUGGUAACACGCCUUCAUCUCUAUGGAAAAUGGAUUAAGAAAUGUGAUCAUGCAGCAAUGUACAAUGAGAUUUCAGACCAGAAUUUAGAGUUGAUGCGAGAAAGGCUCAUGGAGACUGUGAUAUGGCCCUCAGACGACACAAACACAGAGAAGAUUGGAUGACGGCCUUCAAUGAUGGAUAUACCUUUAGUUUUAUUCCUGUUUUCGCUGUUCUUACAGUCUAGGAAAUUAUGUUAUGCCAUUGUAAGUCAUGGAGCCGAGUGGUGUUUUUACACGAAGCUGAGAGAAAAACCUCAAAUAAGUAAAUAUCAGACGACGGAUAUCUAAGCAGGGAUCAAUGACCAACAAGCAUAGUCUGCAAGUCUGCAACUACCGAACAGCACGAGCAAAUGCACCAGGGCUACUGAAUGAAUUCAGAUUUACGAAAGCCCAGACAGCAGCCGCGAGUAGUUGGCUGUCAUUAUUCUGCAAAAACUCGACUAUUAGUCUAUUACUGACAUGAAUCAGGGUCUUCCUGUGGCAUCAGUCGGUGCAUAAGCACUCCCUUGUGAAACUUAAGUUGCAGAGGAUAUACAUUCUAUGAAAGUUUCCAGAUAAUUUUAUCA